rnacentral:rRNA from 1 species
GUCGAGAAUCUUUCACAAUGGGGGCAACCCUGAUGGAGCGACGCCGCGUGGAGGAUAAGGUCUUCGGAUUGUAAACUCCUGUCAUGCGUGAACAAGGUUGCUUGGAUAAUACCUGAGCAAAUUGGUGGUAGCGCAAGAGGAAGAGACGGCUAACUCUGUGCCAGCAGCCGCGGUAAUACAGAGGUCUCAAGCGUUGUUCGGAAUCACUGGGCGUAAAGGGUGCGUAGGUGGCGUGGCAAGUCAGAUGUGAAAGCCCGGGGCUCAACCUCGGAACUGCAUCCGAUACUGCCAUGCUAGAGUACUGGAGGGGUGACUAGAAUUCUCGGUGUAGCAGUGAAAUGCGUAGAUAUCGAGAGGAAUACCAAAGGCGUAGGCAGGUCACUGGACAGUUACUGACACUGAGGCACGAAGGCCAGGGGAGCGAACGGGAUUAGAAACCCUGGUAGUCC